CACGUAGGGUGCGAGCGUUGUCCGGAAUUAUUGGGCGUAAAGAGCUCGUAGGCGGUGUGUCGCGUCGGCCGUGAAAACCUGCAGCUUAACUGUGGGCUUGCGGUCGAUACGGGCAUCACUGGAGUUCGGCAGGGGAGACUGGAAUUCCUGGUGUAGCGGUGAAAUGCGCAGAUAUCAGGAGGAACACCGAUGGCGAAGGCAGGUCUCUGGGCAUUAAACUGACGCUGGAGGAGCG
rnacentral:rRNA from 1 species